GCAGAAUCAUUUGCAAUUCGUUUUGUAAGAAAGUGUGAAAGAGAAAAUAAAAUAACAUGAAGUGCAUUUUUUUGUCUUUUAUUCUGGCUUUUUAUACCUUACAAGCACCUUCUACAGGCAGAACAAUCAACAAUUUAGAAUUUCGUGAAAAAGAACAAUUCGUCAAUCUUAAGUUACGUGACAAUUUUCCGACAACUUUUGAAAACAAUCAAACGUAUCCAAAAACAGUCAACAAUUUAAACUUAGAUGCAAUAAAUCAAACCAUCAUCAUACAAAAUCAUGGGAAUCUUAAUUUACACGGAACAAAUGAAAAUUUACCCAUAAAUGAAUAUAGACUGAGUGACGAAAUCAUAAAAUGGAAAUUAGAUACAGCGAAAAUAAUUUUCAAGACUGCAAGAGAAUUCAUACCUCCUUUACAGAAACUGAUGCAGGGAUUUAUGGAAACAAAUUUCACAAAAUUUUAAUUUAAGAAAAAGAGCCUGCAGAAUCACGUGCCAAUAAGGAUAAAAUAGGUACACUGAAAAGACAACUUUUGCAGCCAAAACAAACAACAACUUAAAUUUUGACGCAGAGAAACAAAUAAUCGUGAUAAAAAAUCAUGGAAAUAUUACUAUAACCAAAAAAGAAAAUGUUGAACCUCUGGUAAGAAAAAAUGUAAUAAUUCUUUUAUAAAAAUUAUUAUAACAAAAAAAUGUUCAUGAAAUUUCAAAUAUAAAUUACAAUGCAUAAUUA